GCAUAUCAAUAAGCGCAGGAAAAGAAACCAACAGGGAUUGCCUCAGUAACGGCGAGUGAAGCGGCAACAGCUCAAAUUUGAAAUCUGGCCCCCCGGGGUCCGAGUUGUAAUUUGUAGAGGAUGUUUUGGGUACCGCCCCGGUUUAAAUUUCUUGGAACAGAAUGUCAGAGAGGGUGAGAAUCCCGUCUUGGACCGGUGGUAGGGCCUGUGUAAAACUCCUUCGACGAGUCGAGUUGUUUGGGAAUGCAGCUCAAAAUGGGUGGUAAAUUUCAUCUAAAGCUAAAUAUUGGCCAGAGACCGAUAGCGCACAAGUAGAGUGAUCGAAAGAUGAAAAGAACUUUGAAAAGAGAGUUAAACAGUAUGUGAAAUUGUUGAAAGGGAAGCGCUUGCAACCAGACUUGAGCGCGACGGUUCCCCCAGCCUUUUGGCUGGGUUACUCCGUCGUGUCCAGGCCAACAUCGGUUCUGAGGGUCGGUCAAAGGCUCUGGGAAUGUAUCUACCCACGGGUAGACUUAUAGACCAGGGUGUCAUGCGGCCUCUCGGGACCGAGGAACGCGCUUCGGCUCGGAUGUUGGCGUAAUGGUUGUCAGCGACCCGUCUUGAAACACGGACC
rnacentral:rRNA from 1 species